GAUGAACGCUGGCGGCGUGCUUAACACAUGCAAGUCGAACGGGGGACCCCUGAAGGAGUUUUCGGACAACGGAAGGGAAUCCCUAGUGGCGGACGGGUGAGUAACGCGUGAGUAACCUGCCUUGGAGUGGGGAAUAACAGCUGGAAACAGCUGCUAAUACCGCAUAAAACGUCUGUGUCGCAUGGCACUGGACGUCAAAGAUUUAUCGCUCUGAGAUGGACUCGCGUCUGAUUAGCUAGUUGGUGGGGCAACGGCCCACCAAGGCGACGAUCAGUAGCCGGACUGAGAGGUUGGCCGGCCACAUUGGGACUGAGACACGGCCCAG
rnacentral:rRNA from 1 species